rnacentral:rRNA from 1 species
AGAGCGAACGCUGGCGGCAGGCCUAACACAUGCAAGUCGAACGGAUCCUUCGGGAUUAGUGGCGGACGGGUGAGUAACACGUGGGAACGUGCCUUUGGUUCGGAACAACUCAGGGAAACUUGAGCUAAUACCGAAUGUGCCCUUCGGGGGAAAGAUUUAUCGCCAUUAGAGCGGCCCGCGUCUGAUUAGCUAGUUGGUAGGGUAAAGGCCUACCAAGGCUACGAUCAGUAGCUGGUCUGAGAGGAUGAUCAGCCACAUUGGGACUGAGACACGGCCCAAACUCCUACGGGAGGCAGCAGUGGGGAAUCUUGCGCAAUGGGCGAAAGCCUGACGCAGCCAUGCCGCGUGAAUGAUGAAGGUCUUAGGAUUGUAAAAUUCUUUCACCGGGGAAGAUAAUGACUGUACCCGGAGAAGAAGCUCCGGCUAACUUCGCGCCAGCAGCCGC